UACGGAGGGUGCAAGCGUUAUCCGGAAUCACUGGGUUUAAAGGGUGCGUAGGCGGCUUUGUAAGUCCGGGGUGAAAGCCCGCAGCUUAACUGCGGAACUGCCUUUGAUACUACAGAUCUUGAAAGAGGUUGAGGUCAGCGGAACGUGACAUGUAGCGGUGAAAUGCAUAGAUAUGUCACAGAACACCAAUUGCGAAGGCAGCUGGCUGGGCCUACUUUGACGCUGAUGCACGAAAGCGUGGGGAGCGAACAGG
rnacentral:rRNA from 1 species